AAUCACUGACCCAUGGCAUACUCGUCAUGAACAACUUCAGACGGAAAAUGCCCAUAAAGAAAAUAUAGGCCUAUGAAAGAAAAUGCCGUAGCCCGAACUCACCUCGGCACUCUGCAGCGUUGUCUCAACUGUUUUUUACGUAUAAGCAAUAGGCCUACAUACUUUUUCAAAAAAGCGUUUACAUGGCGUUUAUCAGGUGAAAACAUGGCAUCUCUCCAUCGUGUCAACAGUUAUUAUACCUCAGUGGUGUCAACAGCUGGGCAGUUUUCCUUGAUGGCACUUCCUCAAGGCACUCAAGGUCACUCUGCUGAACUGAUAGGUCAUUUUCUUCUUCACCUUGAAGAUCUCUCCAGACCGGGCGUAGUUCCUCAGCGCCCUGGACAUUUUCUGGACACAACAAGGAUGGGACACUUGUUGGAACUCAUGACAUUUUCACCAUUGUUAGUGACAUUACCUGAGUUCACACCUUGGUGACUGUGGAUGAAGUGAAGCUUGUGGCAAGAUCACAGUCUCCCUGGAGGGAGUAAUUUUCAUACCAGCUGUGCCAGUCAGGUGCAGCAGCAGAGCUAUAGUAAGCCUGUUCAGCUGUGGCAUGCUGCUGGUGGAGGAGCACCUCCCGCCCAGGGUGGCCAGCCCCGGGGUGCCCGGCGGGGGGAAUGACGUGACUGAUGCCCCCAAGCCUCUGGAUGAUCGACGGGUUGAACUG